rnacentral:rRNA from 1 species
UACAGAGGGGGCAAGCGUUGUUCGGAAUCACUGGGCGUAAAGGGCGUGUAGGCGGUCAGGUAAGUGAGAUGUGAAAUGCCCCGGCUCACCCGGGGACCGGCAUCUCAUACUGCUUGGCUUGAGUACGGGAGAGGAUGUGGGAAUUCCUGGUGUAGCGGUGAAAUGCGUAGAUAUCAGGAGGAACACCGGUGGCGAAGGCGCACAUCUGGCCCGAUACUGACGCUGAGGCGCGAAAGCUAGGGGAGCAAACGGG